CCUAUCAGUUGACAUCAGAUGUUCGUAUCAUCUUCCGGUUAUUUCCUAGUGUUCGGGGAUCCCGAUACAACAACUACACAGGAUGUCUGAACAGAUUAUUAAGCCUGUUCCGGAAGUGGCUUCGGAUGCUAAUGCACGGCAUUUCCCACUCUUAGGAACACUUCUCUGACCACUCACGCGUUCCAUGGGGCUUUUGAGACACUGUUUGAUGGUUCUGAUAUUUUGGCGUCUCAUCCUGACUCUUCUCGUGGUCAAUAACGUGUGAAAAUUUACAUUGUAUGAUGAAUUAUCUUUUCUGGACUUCAUUUAAGCAGUACUGUCUAUUCCGGCACUAACAUAAGUGUUCCUGAUGGAAGAUGGGAAUCUGAAUUCUCUGGAUUUUUUUUUUAAUCUUUCUUUCCAACAUAAAUGUAGCAGUAUGAGAUAUAUGAACAUCGAAUUCAGUUCAAUGCACUACGUGGUAACAGAGAAUAGAACGUAUGUCAGCAUCCAAUACUGAAAUAAUUGGUUUGAGAAACACUGAAGCCUUGUGUGAUUCCCAUGCACACUCACACUUUGAAGCAGAAUAAUUUAUUGUUAUUUUUAUUUAUUGACCUAAUUUUGUUCAUUAUGACAAGAAAUCAAGAAGAAAAACUUAGUUUUUGCUUACAAUGAUAGAGAAUAUUUAACAUAAAAAAAUAUUCUUUUACAAAAUCAUUCUGUGUGCAGACGCCUUUAAAAAAAAUAAACAAUCAAACAUUGUAUUGAAUUUUUAAAAAGAAACAAAAUUAUAAACAAAUAGUAUUCACCAUCCUGACUAUUUUUUAAUUAAUAUGAAUUGAUAUUUUUAAAUGAUUGGAAGAAAUACUUUUGUGAAUUUUAGUAUUAUAACAAAAUGAUGGAAAACAUUGUUUUCUUAAUAUUGAGUUUCGUUCAGAAUUACAAAAAAAAACAUUUUGUGGUAUGUCAGCAAUAUAGUAAACUUCAGUAAAAAAAAUUAAUAAUGAAAAACCAAAUUGCCUCCAAUCAUGUCAAUUUUUCUUUUAUUAUUGAAUCAACAAUAUAAAUAAAUAAAUACAUAAUUUUUUUGUGUGCCAAUGCAGUAUUUUUAAAAUAAAAAAAAUACAUUGAUGUAAGGA